GAUGAACGCUAGCGGGAGGCCUAACACAUGCAAGCCGAGCGGUUUUUGUUCUUCGGCCCAGAGAGAGCGGCGCACGGGUGCGGAACACGUGUGCAACCUGCCUUUAUCUGGGGGAUAGCCUUUCGAAAGGAAGAUUAAUACCCCAUAAUAUAUUGAGUGGCAUCACUUGAUAUUGAAAACUCCGGUGGAUAGAGAUGGGCACGCGCAAGAUUAGAUAGUUGGUGAGGUAACGGCUCACCAAGUCAAUGAUCUUUAGGGGGCCUGAGAGGGUGAUCCCCCACACUGGUACUGAGACACGGACCAGACUCCUACGGGAGGCAGCAGUGAGGAAUAUUGGACAAUGGGUUAGCGCCUGAUCCAGCCAUCCCGCGUGAAGGACGACGGCCCUAUGGGUUGUAAACUUCUUUUGUAUAGGGAUAAACCUACUCUCGUGAGAGUAGCUGAAGGUACUAUACGAAUAAGCACCGGCUAACUCCGUG
rnacentral:rRNA from 1 species